UGACCUCGGAUCAGGCAGGGAUACCCGCUGAACUUA
rnacentral:rRNA from 1 species